rnacentral:rRNA from 1 species
AUUGAACGCUGGCGGCAGGCCUAACACAUGCAAGUCGAACGAGUGGCGGACGGGUGAGUAAUGUCUGGGAAACUGCCUGAUGGAGGGGGAUACUUACUGGAACCGGUAGCUAAUACCGCAUACCAUCAGAUGUGGACAGAUGGGAUUAGCUUGUUGGUGGGUUAACGGCUCACCAAGGCCACGAUCCCUCGCGGCUCUGAGAGGAUGACCGGCCACACGGGAACUGUGACACGGUCCAGCCUCCUACGGGAGGCAGCAGUGGGGAAUAUUGCACAAUGGGCGCAAGCCGGAUGCAGCCAUGCGGCGUGUAUGAAUAGGGCCGUCGGUUUGUAAAGUACGUUCAGCGGGGAGGCGUUACCCGCAGAGGAAGCACCGGCUAACUCCGUGCCAGCAGCCGCGGUAAUUC